CAGGGCUCACUAACCUCGCCUUGUGCCUCGGUCUGCCCUGCAUGGGACGCAGGCUGGAAGAUGGUGGACUGGAAAUUGGACAUGUUCACAUCAGUUGCACAUCGUCUCGAAAUGAAGCGGUCACGGAGCCGCUUUCCGGUGGAUGUGAUAUUAUCUGCCCAGAGGAACACGAGUAGGGCAUAUUGUCUGAUGUGAUAUAACAAAGAAUGGACUCACCAUCACAUUACAUUCACCAUCCCAUCAUGACGCUAAGAAGAAAAAAACCCAAACACAAUCAGACGUGAUGGUAGCCGCGUUUCUGAAUGUGGCCGCUAGAUGGCGACCUCUACUCUUUUUCUUUGCCUCGGACAGGGAGGGAACAAUGAAGGGAAAGGCGAAGUCGAAGAAGAAAGGUGGCGACAAGGAGCAUGGCGGAGGUGAUGGAAGAGGAGGUCAUGCAGGAAAAGGAAGAGAUGGCCGCCAAUGAAUUGUCCUUGUUGAACAAGCCCUCACUGGUCUAUGCUGUAAAAUGAAAGUUUACAAAUUCAACAGCAAACUUUUUCAGAAUCUGCUUGUUUAAUUCUUUGUAUGCCUUUGCUUUAAGGUCAUAGAAAAUCCUCAAAAUAACACUUCUGCACCAGUCAGAUACCUGUGAUGAUAUUUACACUAUAAAUCUUUGUUGUGUGACUUAUGAAAACUCGUUAAUUUCAUGCUCUUGCAGAAUACACUGUCAGAAGCAUGCUUUUGCAGUUAAACAGCCAUGCCUUUGUAUAUUUAACCACCAGAUAGUUUCACGAGGAGUAGAGUCCAUAAAGUGUGGUGGGAUACCUGUGGUUAAUGCUUACCGGAUUUAGGCCGGGUAAAAGCUUCCAUUAGUAUUCACCCAACCUACCGCCUCACCGUUUUCAUAUCGAGUUUGCUUGGACGGAAUAAAACAACAGCAACAAACAACGCAAACAGCACAGUGCAGUCAUUACUUGUGGAAAUAAACGCAUCACUUCAGAAUUCAGUUUUCAUGACUGUGACUUGAGUAGAGAAAUAUCCAACUGAAUGCAUCUCAUUCGUCAACAUGAACUGACAACUCACACAUCCAUGUUAAAAUCUAUAU